rnacentral:rRNA from 1 species
CCUACGGGAGGCAGCAGUGAGGAAUAUUGGUCAAUGGGCGUAAGCCUGAACCAGCCAAGUAGCGUGAGGGAUGAAGGUCCUAUGGAUCGUAAACCUCUUUUAUAAGGGAAUAAAGUGUUGGACGUGUCCCGUUUUGUAUGUACCUUAUGAAUAAGGAUCGGCUAACUCCGUGCCAGCAGCCGCGGUAAUACGGAGGAUCCGAGCGUUAUCCGGAUUUAUUGGGUUUAAAGGGAGCGUAGGCGGGCUUUUAAGUCAGCGGUGAAAGUUUGUGGCUCAACCAUAGAAUUGCCGUUGAUACUGGGAGUCUUGAGUAUGUUUGAGGCAGGCGGAAUGCGUGGUGUAGCGGUGAAAUGCUUAGAUAUCACGCAGAACCCCGAUUGCGAAGGCAGCCUGCCAAGCCAUGACUGACACUGAUGCACGAAAGCGUGGGGAUCAAACAGGAUUAGAUACCCGAGUAGUC